rnacentral:tRNA from 1 species
UUUUAUUAAUUUUUAUUUAAUAUUAAAAAAUUUUGAUUUUUUUAUUCUAAUUAGUUUUAGUAAGUAAUGU